CCCUUAGACGUUCUGGGCCGCACGCGCGCUACACUGACCAGUGCAACAAGCAUCCGUCCUUGGCCGACAGGCCCGGGCAAUCUUUGAACGCUGGUCGUGAUGGGGAUAGACUUUUGCAAUUUUUGGUCUUCAACGAGGAAUUCCUAGUAAACGCAAGCCAUCAACUUGCAUUGAUUACGUCCCUGCCCUUUGUACACACCGCCCGUCGCACCUACCGAUUGAAUGGUCCGGUGAAGCCUCCGGAUUGGCGCGCACCUCGGUGCCGCCGAGAAGUUGGCUAAACCUUACCAUUUAGAGGAAGGUGAAGUCGUAACA
rnacentral:rRNA from 1 species